GUACUUGCACGGGUCGCACCUAUAUGAAAAUUGGAACAAUACAGAGAAAAUUGGCAUGGCCCCUGCACAGAUUCAGGAAGCAUUAUUCCAUAUGUUC
rnacentral:snRNA from 1 species